CUUCUGUCCUCUACCAUUUCCAAAAGUCUAAGUUCAUAUUUGUUGCUUCCACCCUGCCAUUUAUCCAUCUCCACCUCAGCUGUCCCAUUCUCCUUUUGCCUUCAAUCUUUCCCAGCAUUACUGUCUUUUCCAAAGAGUCCUGUCUUCUCCUCAUGUGGCCAAAGCUUCAGCUUCAGUGUUUGUCCUUCCAAUGAAUCAUCAGAAUUAAUUUCUUUAAGCAGUGGCUGACUUGAUCUUCUUGAGGCCCAAGAAACUCUCCAAAGUCUCCUCCAGCACCAUAAAUCUUUAGGCUCAUCACGUCCAAUCCUGUCGUUUUACAGAUGAGAAAAUCGAGAUUCUGAGAGGUUAGAGGAAUGGCCCAAAGUCACACAGCUGGCAAGUGUCUGAGGAUAAAGCAAACCCCAAUUUUACCACAAUGGAGUUUUGUCCUUGAGUACUACUACAUGAAUGGAGGCGGGAUGAUGGAUCAAACAAGUGGAAG
rnacentral:lncRNA from 1 species